GGAGAGAGGAUGCAACAUUAGAGUGGCCUGUAAUGAUGCGUGGGUGGGUUGCAACUGAAGGGUGGGGGCAAGGGCCCAAUUGUUGGGUGGGGGUAAUCAGGUUUGUGACAUGAGGGAGGAGAGAGGAUGCAACAUUAGAGUGGCCUGUAAUGAUGCGUGGGUGGGUUGCAACUGAAGGGUGGGGGCAAGGGCCCAAUUGUUGGGUGGGGGUAAUCAGGUUUGUGACAUGAGGGAGGAGAGGAGAGGGAUGAGUGUUGGUAAUGAUAGGUUUUUAGUCUUUUUGGCUAUGACUAAAGACUAAAUAUGAGAAAAAUGGAUGGAAUGACUGUUUAGUUGAUGAAAUCAAACUCCCUUUAAUUAUUGGAGUAAUUGUUCUUCUUCAUGAUAGUAAAAUCUCAUCAUUGCACUAUACAGAUAUCUCU
rnacentral:misc_RNA from 1 species